CAACCCUCAGCGUGGACGCUGGCAGCUGCGACCUCUCAUGAAAGGGUGCGGAUGGCCUCUGGUGAACUGGAUGAGGUCUCUGUUGUUGUGGUGAUGAAAGAAGAUAACAUAAAAACAGAAAAAUGGCGAAGAGCACAGAUUCCACAGCCUAAUGUCCUGAGUUUAAAUUCCUACUCUGCCAUUUACCAGUUUUAUGUUAUGAACAUCAGGUGGUAGCCACAACGAAGAAAUACAUUUUCUGGCAGCUGUGAAUGUUAUCCUUCCC
rnacentral:lncRNA from 1 species